UGGAAUCGCUAGUAAUCGCGGAUCAGAAUGCCGCGGUGAAUACGUUCCCGGGUCUUGUACACACCGCCCGUCACACCAUGGGAGUCGGAAAUGCCCGAAGUCUGUGACCCAACCUACGGGAGGGAGCAGCCGAAGGCAGGUCGGAUGACUGGGGUGAAGUCGUAACAAGGUAUC
rnacentral:rRNA from 1 species